rnacentral:ncRNA from 1 species
CGCGGGACGACCUGCGUCUUCUGUCACAAUCCGGGACGGCCCGG